rnacentral:rRNA from 1 species
GAUGAACGCUGACAGAAUGCUUAACACAUGCAAGUCAACUGUGGCGGACGGGUGAGUAACGCGUAAAGAACUUGCCUCACAGUUAGGGACAACAUUUGGAAACGAAUGCUAAUACCUGAUACUGUGAGAGAGCUUUGCGUCCCAUUAGCUAGUUGGAGAGGUAAAGGCUAACCAAGGCGAUGAUGGGUAGCCGGCCUGAGAGGGUGAUCGGCCACAAGGGGACGUGGACACGGCCCGUACUCUUACGUGAUGCAGCAGUUGGUAAUAUUGGACAAUGGACCAAAGUCUGAUCCAGCCAUUCUGUGUGCACGAUGAAGUUUUCGGAAUGUAAAGUGCUUUCAGUUGUUAAGCGGUACCCACAGAAGAAGUGACGGCUAAAUACGUGCCAGCAGCCGCGGUAAUUC